rnacentral:misc_RNA from 1 species
CUAUGCUCGGAGGUAUUCGAAUCUCCCGGUCGGAUUUUGUUGCUUGUGCCUCGUACCUCAGUGUCGGCAUCAGCAUUGUCCCAAAGAACGGCCAGUUGUCCCAGUUUUCGUGUCUCGGUGCUCAUGUGUCCCUGUCACGGGGCUGGCUUGGAAACAUCGAUAGCGCUCGCUCAUCUACUACUAACGUUGUCGCGGGCGUGGCGUGAUCGAUGUUCGAUCUCUCGUGCGCGGAAUGCCCAUCGGCGCGGUGGUUCACCGAACCCCGCUAAAUAGACCCUCGAUGAAAAGUCGUCCGAUGCAAUCUUGAGCGACCAUCGUGCCUGCGAAUGUGUUUGCCGCCGAGAAGGCGCAGCGCAUGCAGUGCCGAUGUCGUACGGGAACGCUACCUGGUUGAUCCUGCCAGUAGUCAUAUGCUUGUCUCAAAGAUUAAGCCA